rnacentral:rRNA from 1 species
CUGAAGCGUAUAUUAAAGUUGCUGCAGUUAAAAAGCUCGUAGUUGGAUUUCUGAUUCUUUGAACCUAGUCCGCCCCGAUUUAGGUGUGCGUGUACUGGUGUUUGAUAAUCUUCCUUGGAGUGCAUGCAUCUACCAUUUAUUUGGACGGGUGUAUUUUGUGCUCCAUCAUUUACUGUGAACAAAUUAGAGUGUUCAAGGCAAGCAUAAUUGCUGUGAAUACAUUAGCAUGGAAUAAUAAGAUAGGACUUUUGUACUAUUUUGUUGGUUUCUUGUACUGAAGUAAUGAUUGAUAGGGACAGUUGGGGGUGCUAGUAUUCAUUUGGAAGGGGUGAAAUCUUUGGAUCUAAUGAAGACUAACUGAUGCGAAAGCGUUCACCAAAUAUGUUCCCUUUAAUCAAGAACGAUAGUCGAGGGAGCGAAGACGAUCAGAUACCAU